UACGUAGGCAGCGAGCGUUGUUCGGAGUUACUGGGCGUAAAGGGUGCGUAGGCGGGUCUUUAAGUCAGGGGUGAAAUCCUGGAGCUCAACUCCAGAACUGCCUUUGAUACUGAAGAUCUUGAGUUCGGGAGAGGUGAGUGGAACUGCGAGUGUAGAGGUGAAAUUCGUAGAUAUUCGCAAGAACACCCGUGGCGAAGGCGGCUCUCUGGUACGUGACUGACGCUGAGACGCGAAAGCGUGGGGAGCAACAGG
rnacentral:rRNA from 1 species